CUGCAUGGCUGUCGUCAGCUCGUGUCGUGAGAUGUUGGGUUAAGGUCCCGCCAACGAGCGCAACCCUUGCCUUUAGUCGCCAGCAGUUCGGCUGGGCACUCUAAAGGGACUGCCGGUGUUAAACCGGAGGAAGGUGGGGAGUGACGUCAAGUCCUCAUGGCCUUUAUGACCAGGGCUACACACGUACUACAAUGGCCGAUACAAAGGGCAGCGACACUGCGAGGUGAAGCCAAUCCCGUAAAAUCGGUCUCAGUCCGGAUUGGAGUCUGCAACUCGACUCCAUGAAGUUGGAAUCGCUAGUAAUCGUGGAUCAGCAUGCCACGGUGAAUACGUUCCCGGGCCUU
rnacentral:rRNA from 1 species